CAAACUUCGUGAUAGCUGGUUCUCUCCGAAAUGCAUUUAGGUGCAGCGUUGAUUUAUAGUUUUAUAGAGGUAGAGCUACUGAUUGGAUGCGGGGGCUUCACCGCCUACCAAUUCCUGACAAACUCCGAAUGCUAUAAAAUGAUAAUCAGCAGUGAGGGCAUGGGUGCUAAGGUCCAUGUCCGAGAGGGAAAGAACCCAGACCAUCAGCUAAGGUCCCAAAAUAUAUGUUAAGUUGAAUAAACGAGGUUGAACUGCUUAGACAGCUAGGAUGUUGGCUUGGAAGCAGCCAUUCAUUUAAAGAGUGCGUAACAGCUCACUAGUCGAGCGGUUCGGCAUGGAUAAUAAUCGGGCAUAAACAUAUUACCGAAGCUAUGGAUUUACAGUUUACUGUAAGUGGUAGGGGAGCAUUGUAGUGUCGUCGAAGGUGUGCUGUGAGGCAUGCUGGAGAAGCUACAAAAGAAAAUGUAGGCAUAAGUAACGAUAAUGCGGGCGAGAAACCCGCACACCGAAAGACUAAGGUUUCCUCAGCUAUGCUAAUCAGCUGAGGGUUAGUCGGGACCUAACGCGAACCCGAAAGGGGUAGUGGAUGGACAACAGGUUAAUAUUCCUGUACCUGCUCACACUAAAAGUGACGGAGGCGAAAAGUUAGUGCGUACUGACGGAAUAGUACGUUGAAGCGAGUAGUAAUACCGCGAUAGUACACUGAGACUACGGUCAAGGUGAUAAUCUAGCAAAUCGACUUCCAAGAAAAGCGAGUGAAGCAGCCCGUACCCUAAACCGACACAGGUAGUUGGGAUGAGAAUUCUAAGGUGCUCGAGAGAUUCAUGGCUAAGGAACUAGGCAAAAUAGACCCGUAACUUCGGGAGAAGGGUCGCCCUGUAGCAAUACAGGGCCGCAGUGAAAAGGUCCAGGCGACUGUUUAUCAAAAACACAGGUCCAUGCGAAGUCGUAAGACGAUGUAUAUGGACUGACUCCUGCCCGGUGCUGGAAGGUUAAGAGGAUUGGUUAGC
rnacentral:rRNA from 1 species